rnacentral:rRNA from 1 species
UACGUAGGGUGCUAGCGUUGUCCGGAUUUACUGGGCGUAAAGAGCUCGUAGGUGGUUUGUCGCGUUGUUCGUGAAAUGCCACAGCUUAACUGUGGGCGUGCGGGCGAUACGGGCAGACUGGAGUACUGCAGGGGAGACUGGAAUUCCGGGUGGAGCGGUGAAAUGCGUAGAGAUCCGGAGGAACACCGACGGCGCAGGCAGCGUCCUGGCCGCUUGCUGACACUGAGGCACGAAAGCUGGGGGAGCAAACAGG